CAUUAAGAAGCUAGUAGCACUAACCUUUUAAGUUAGAGAUAGAGAGUAUACCUCUCCUUAAUGA
rnacentral:tRNA from 1 species